GACGAAGGAUGCAAGCGUUAUCCGGAUUCAUUGGGUUUAAAGGGAGCGUAGGUGGCCUUAUAAGUCAGUGGUGAAAUCUCUGGGCUUAACCCAGAAAUUGCCAUUGAUACUGUAGGGCUUGAGUAUAGUUGCCGUUGGCGGAAUAUGACAUGUAGUGGUGAAAUACAUAGAGAUGUCAUAGAACACCGAUUGCGAAGGCAGCUAACGAAACUGUAACUGACACUGAGGCUCGAAAGUGCGGGGAUCAAACAGG
rnacentral:rRNA from 1 species